GAACAUUUGCACUUUGUGAUGGAGAUUUCCCAAGAUGAGAUUUUUAUUCUGGACCCAGAUAUGGUGGUGUCACAGCCGGCGGGGACACCUCCGGGCAUGCCUGACCUGGUGGUGGAGCAAGCCUCGGGGUCACCAGUCUCUUCAGAAGAUCAUGCAAUUUUGCAGGCAGUAAUAGCUGGUGAUCUUAUGAAGCUAAUAGAAAGCUAUAAAAAUGGAGGCAGUCUGCUAAUUCAGGGACCAGACCACUGUUCACUCCUUCACUACGCAGCUAAAACCGGCAACGGGGAGAUUGUGAAAUAUAUCCUUGACCACGGACCUUCCGAGUUAUUGGAUAUGGCAGACAGUGAAACGGGUGAGACUGCACUGCACAAGGCUGCCUGCCAGCGGAACCGGGCUGUGUGCCAGCUUCUGGUGGAUGCAGGAGCAUCUCUGAGAAAGACGGACUCCAAGGGUAAGACACCUCAAGAAAGAGCACAGCAGGCUGGGGACCCAGACUUGGCUGCUUACCUAGAAAGCCGUCAGAACUAUAAGGUCAUUGGCCAUGAGGACCUGGAAACUGCUGUUUGACCCUGGUAUUCGGGCAAAGAGGACAUGAGCAAGCGUAUCACAUCUGCCCUCCCUGCAAUUGGGCA
rnacentral:sRNA from 1 species